rnacentral:rRNA from 1 species
UUGCCUACGGGGGGCAGCAGUGGGGAAUAUUGCACAAUGGGGGAAACCCUGAUGCAGCAACGCCGCGUGAGUAAAGAAGGUUUUCGGAUUGUAAAGCUCUGUUAGCAGGGAAGAGGAAGGACGGUACCUGCAGAGGAAGCCACGGCUAACUACGUGCCAGCAGCCGCGGUAAUACGUAGGGGGCAAGCGUUAUCCGGAUUUACUGGGUGUAAAGGGAGCGUAGACGGCUGUGCAAGUCUGAAGUGAAAUGCCGGGGCUCAACCCCGGAACUGCUUUGGAAACUGUACAGCUAGAG